rnacentral:rRNA from 1 species
UACAGAGGGGGCAAGCGUUGUUCGGAAUUACUGGGCGUAAAGGGCGCGUAGGCGGCCUUCUAAGUCAGACGUGAAAUCCCCGGGCUCAACCCGGGAACUGCGUCUGAGACUGGAAGGCUUGAAUCCGGGAGAGGGAUGUGGAAUUCCAGGUGUAGCGGUGAAAUGCGUAGAUACCUGGAGGAACACCGGUGGCGAAGGCGGCAUCCUGGACCGGUAUUGACGCUGAGGCGCGAAAGCCAGGGGAGCAAACGGG